rnacentral:lncRNA from 1 species
CAUUAUACAAAACUGCCUCCUUAGGAAGUGGAUAGAAAAUAGAUAUUUAGCCAGUGUAUAUCAAUCUGCACUAAGGCCAAAAGAGCAUAGAAGCUGAUAACCAGUACAUGUUUGAUUUGCUUGUCAAAUGGAGAGAUAUGGCAGAAAAAGCUAACAUCAGUUUAGAAUAUAAACUUGUUUGUAAAAUCUCACAGAGGAAGAUGCUGGAAGAAUUUGAACAACAUUGAUCAUUGCAACAAGCUGCAGUGGCUGCCAUAGAAGGAAAUGAUGGAGUCUGAAUGCAGAUUGGAGUAUACCUUUCUUCACUUUAUUUCCUCCAUGAAAUUUUCUUUUGUAGCUCGGGGUUCAGAGGUUCACAAACAUGCCAAAGAAAGGAGCUACACCAACUGGAUCCAAGCCAGGGAGGAAGCAGAGGCUGGUUGGUUGGGUGCUGAGGGGAGAUUAAAGGGUCAGGGACAACAAGCAGCUGUUCCUGGGAGAAGAUUGCAUCUGACCCUGGAAUUUCUGAUAAACUACAUAAUAAGCUACUCAGAAUACAGUGAAACAGUAUAUUUUGCCAAAAUAUGAUUGCAAUAUUGAGGGGAAUAAAAAAUAUCUCACCUCAAUCUGGGUUUUCUGA